rnacentral:rRNA from 1 species
GACGAACGCUGGCGGCGUGCUUAACACAUGCAAGUCGAACGAUGAAGCCGGAGCUUGCUCUGGUGAAUUAGUGGCGAACGGGUGAGUAACACGUGAGUAACCUGCCCUUGACUCUGGGAUAACUGCGGGAAACUGUAGCUAAUACCGGAUACGACCCUCGGAGGCAUCUCCUGGGGGUGGAAGGAAUUUCGGUCAAGGAUGGACUCGCGGCCUAUCAGCUAGUUGGUGAGGUAAAGGCUUACCAAGGCGACGACGGGUAGCCGGCCUGAGAGGGUGACCGGCCACACUGGGACUGAGACACAGCCCAGACUCCUACGGGAGGCAGCAGUGGGGAAUAUUGCACAAUGGGCGCAAGCCUGAUGCAGCAACGCCGCGUGAGGGAUGACGGCCUUCGGGUUGUAAACCUCUUUUAGCAGGGAAGAAGCGAAAGUGACGGUACCUGCAGAAAAAGCACCGGCUAACUACGUGCCAGCCGCCGCAGUAA